rnacentral:rRNA from 1 species
GAUGAACGCUAGCUAUAGGCUUAACACAUGCAAGUCGAGGGAACUGCGCACGGGUGAGUAACGCGUAUCCAACCUGCCCAUAACUAAGGGAUAACCCAGCGAAAGUUGGACUAAUACCUUAUGGUUAUGGAUGGGGAUGCGUCUGAUUAGCUUGUUGGCGGGGAAACGGCCCACCAAGGGAACGAUCAGUAGGGGUUCUGAGAGGAAGGGCACACACAUGGUAACUGAGACACGGGACAAACUCCUACAGGAGGCAGCAGUGAGGAGUAUUGGUAAAUGGACGCAAGUCUGAACCAGCCAAGUAGCGUGCAGGAUGACGGCAUAUGGGUAGUAAACUGCUUAUAUAUGGGGAUAAGUACCAUAUGAAUAAAGACCGGCUAAGUCCGUGCCAGCAGCCGCGGUAAUUC